GGGCUUGUAGCUCAUGUGUACAGCACCUGCCUAGCAAGCAGGAGGCCAUGAGUUCAAAUCCCAGGACCA
rnacentral:tRNA from 1 species